rnacentral:rRNA from 1 species
GUCUGUAUGAAGUUAUAUAGAGUCUGACCUGCCCACUGAAAUAAAUAAAAGGCCGCGGUAUAUUAACUGUGCAAAGGUAGCAUAAUCAUUAGUUUUUUAAUUGAAGGCUUGUAUGAAGGGUUGGACAAAGGAUAAGCUGUCUUUAUUAUUAUUUUUGAAUUUGUCUUUUAAGUGAAAAGACUUAAAUAAUUUUAAGGGACGAUAAGACCCUAUAAAUCUUUAUAUUAAUUUAUUUUUAUAUUAAUUUAUAAUGUAAAUGAAAAAAGAAAAUAAAAGAUAUUAUAUUGGGGUGAUAAGAAUAUAAAAUAAACUGUUCUAAAUUUAAAACAAAGUUGUUUGUAAGUAAAAGAUCCUUUUUAGAGAUUAAAAGUUUAAGUUACUUUAGGGAUAACAGCGUUAUUUUUUUUGAGAGUUCAAAUCGAAAAAAAAGUUUGCGACCUCGAUGUUGAAUUAAAAUUUCUUUAUGGUGUAGMCGUUAUAAAAGAAAGUCUGUUCGACUUUUAAAAUUUU